GUUCAGUAGCAUCCGUGGCAACGCUGAAGAUAGUCUAGGAGCGUUCAGCGUUCGCAAGCACUAAUGGUGUAAAGGCAGACAGUACAAGCCUUGAAUGUUAACGGCACAUUCAUUCCAUCUACCUUCUGUAAUGUAUACAUGUCAACGAGUUCCCACGCACCGCACAUGGUGGCGUUGAUGCCAAUUACCAGCUCAGAAUGGGUACCCUGCCAGACAUCGGAAUCGCGUUCGCCUCCCGAUUCACACGGGCAAAAAAAUAAGUGGGAGUGGUGUCUGUUUCGGAAAUGACCUCGAAAUAUGCACUUGAGGUCAAGAUUUGAGUCAUAAUCACGUGAAUUGAUUGUACGCGGUUGCCGCUUAGCGGGGUCGGCCGUACGACAAGUUGAGCCUCUAGCCCAUGGCAACGUCUGGGCCGGUCGCGUGUAUUUGACCGGAGUUGGUAGAAGUGAAUCUUGAAUCGAGAAGUGAGUGUCUGUCUCUCAGUGAUCAGUGUGAUUUCAUGAUAAAUACUUCGUAAGCGUCUACAGCAGCGUCUUUUCGACGACGUCUUCUCAGCCUUUGUCAAGGUUUAUUGGUCUAUCUCCAUCUAUCGCCCUCAGAAGGUUUCGCUGUUGGUAAGCAGCAACCUAGCUAAACCUUGAAAGAAUUUCAAUUUGGUAAGUUUCACCACAAGACAUAAGAGAACAUUGGAAUUACUGUUGAUCAGAGAGAGAUUUGACAACCUGCCUUGCUCCUUGCGUUGUUCACAUGGU